CUAUAUUUCAAUAUAAACUAUUGAAAUUCCUCUCGCAUUUGUGACAUUUCUGUUUUACUUUCCUCACACUUUGUGACUGUUCUGUUAUUUGUUCUUUUUUCUGCUCAUGUCAAACUGUUUUAGUACUGAUGUGCGCCUUAUCAUACCAUUUUCUUUGAAUUUUCAAGAAAGACAAAAAAAAAACAUAUUUCCACUUUUGAAUUUAAAACCAUACAUGCAGCAAUGAAUUGUGGGUAAUAUACUUUGCCGAAGUCCGCGAGAAUGUACCUGAGUCCAGCAGAUUUUGCAGCAACACCGGUAUGUUUCCUGAUGUCUGCCCCCUUUAGCUUUUGUUAACACACUCGCGAUGAGGUUACAUUUUGAUAGAUUUAUGCCUGUGAUAACAGGUGUUAUGCCGAGAAACGCAUACCUGCCAAGAAUUGCGUCCCCUGUCGCGGGAGCGCGCAUCGCUCUAAACUCUCGCAUAUUGAUGAGAAAACGGACUGAAAUAUGACCGAAGAGGAAACUUUUAAAGAUAUUCCUAACAUCAUGUUUCUUAACCAUGUAAAUCCUAAAACGGUGGGUUUUAUUUUGCAUGUGAAUUGAAAUAAAUACGGUUUUGACACCUUUAUUGAGUCAUAUGAGUCGAACGUUUUACAGUCUGAGUCUGAUAAAAUGUUC